rnacentral:lncRNA from 1 species
AUCUAUGGGGCAGGAAGGGGAGUUAUGGGCUUUUGGAGUCUAUGGGGCAGAAAUGGGGUCUAUGGGGCAGCUAUGGGGCACCAGUAGAUCUAUGGGGCAGCAAUGGAUCUAUGGGGCAGCUGUGGGGUCUAUGGGGCACCAAUGGAUCUAUGGGGCAGCUAUGGGGCAGCUAUGGGGCACUGUCAGAUCUAUGGGGCAGAAAUGGGGUCUAUGGGGCACCAAUGGAUCUAUGGGGCAGUUAUGGGGCAGCUAUGGGGCAGCUAUGGGGUGCUGUUGGGUUCUAUGGGGCAGCUAUAGGGCACAGUCAGAUCUAUGGGGCAGCUAUGGGGCACCAGUAGAUCUAUGGGGCAGCAAUGGAUCUAUGGGGCAGCUAUGGGGCGCUGUAAGGUUCUAUGGGGCAGCUAUGGGGCAGAGUCAGAUCUAUGGGGCAGCUGUGGGGUCUAUGGGGCAGUUAUGGGGUCUAUGGGGCAGCUAUGGGGCGCUGUGAGCUUCUAUGGGGCAGCUAUGGGGCGCAAUCAGAUCUAUGGGGCAGUUAUGGGGUCUAUGGGGCAGCUAUGGGGCGCUGUAAGGUUCUAUGGGGCAGCUAUGGGGCACAGUCAGAUCUAUGGGGCAGCUAUGGGGCGCUGUGUGCUUCUAUGGGGCGCCGUCUCAUUUAUGGGGCCGCACCCUACAGUACCGCCUUCUCUGUGCCCCACAGCUGCCCCAUAAGUUGUGGGGCAGCCCCAUGGCUCUCCCUCCAGCCGCCAUCUUUGUCCUCCUGGCCGUCGCCCUCCAACCAUCCCUGCUGGCCACCAUGGGCCACCCCACGGCCCCGGUGACUACCAAAGACCCCCAAGUGGCCACCGAAGACCCCCAAGUGACCACCAGAGUCCCCAACCACGGCGACCCCCAAGUGGGCCACCAACAGCUCAACCCUGGCCACCAAACAACCAUAUUGGCCACCAGUGGCCACCCACCAACCCCAGUGACCACCAGAAGCCACCAAGGAACCACCGUUGGCCACCAAUCGACCGCUUUCGGCCACCAAAGAGCCUCCAUUGGCCACCAACCGACCGCCGUUGGCCACCAAAUGUCCCAAGUGGUCACCGUUGGCCACCAACUGAUCAGCACUGGCUACCAACCAACUGUUGUUGGCCACCAACUGAUCAGCACUGGCUACCAACCAACCAUCGUUGACCACCAACCAACCCAAGUGACCACAGUUGGCCAUCAAAGAGCCUCCGUUGGCUACCAACCAACCAUCGUUGGCCGCCAACCGACCCGAGAGACCACCGUUGGCCACCAAAGAGCCUCUGUUGGCCACCGACUGAGCAGCGUUGGCUACCAGCCGACCGCCGUUGGCCACCAACCAACCACCGUUGACCACCACCAACAACAACCGACCACCGUUGGCCACCGACCACCAACUUUUGACUACCAACCAACCACCGUUGACCACCACCACCAACAACAACCGACCACCGUUGGCCACCAACCGACCACCGUUGGCCACCACCACCCCCCAACCAUCGGCCACCACCUCCCCCCAUCUCCCACCACCCCGUUCCCAGCCCCCGCUUCCCAUCCGGCCCCCUCAUGGCUUAUAGCCACGCUAGCCACGGCGGCCAUCUUGGUAGUCACGGUGAUUUUGGUGGCUACUUGGUGCCGUCGGAGGCGCCGUUCCGGUUCGACCAAUUUGGGGCCUUGGAUCGGACCGGCGCCGGUGGGGGAGGAGGAUGUUGAGGCUUUGGCAACUGUGACGAAGCCUUUGGUGGCCACGGUGGCCACCGGUCAGGAGGUGGCUACUAAAAUGAGCACCUUUGUAGCCACCGGGGAGGGGGAGGAGGGGGGGGCGGAGAUGGGUGACCCCAAUGGGACCCCAGUGGGUGACCCCGAUGGGUGACCUGAAGUGACCCCGAUGUUGACCCCAAUGUGACCUGAAGUGACCCCAA